AUUUUUGGUGAUGUUUUGUUAUUGAAAGCGGAUCGAGUAUGACGGUUGUGUGAGGAAGAAAGGGAUGUGAGUUACGUUGUUGUAGCUUGCUUUGGAUAGCAUUCACCGGCGAUUUCGUGGUGGCGGUAAUGAAGGUUUGGUGGUGUGUGUACGACGGUUUGUAGACGGUUGGAGGCGCGGUGGAAGCACGAUGAAGAGAGUGGCGUGUGUGGAAGGCCAAAAGAGACGAUGAACAGUCCCCAUGGAUCCUCCCUCUCUUUUCGUUUUCUUUUCUUUCUUUUCCUUUUUUCUUUUGUUGGAGAGAGAGAGUGGAGAGAAAAGAGAGGUGAUUUUCUCUGUGAUGUGGAGAGAGUGUGAGAGCCUUUUAUUACUUUUUCUUUUCUUUUUUUAAUAUUAAUUUUGUUACCGUUUGAAGAAGAGAGUUUUUUUUUUCAUUUUUUUAAAAUUAUUAUUCAAUUUAUUUCUAAAUUCUGAUUGGAUAAUAAAAUGUAUAUGGAUUGUGAACUUAGACCCUUGAUUAAUUUGAAUCAACGAUUCAGAUUGAAUCAAAGAAGCACACCAAGAAACACACAUUAUU
rnacentral:lncRNA from 1 species